rnacentral:misc_RNA from 1 species
UGUUUUGCCAUUGUUCCUCAUUUUCAUUAUCAUGGGCAUUCUUUGGUGGAAAGGUUGUCUAGGAGGCAGGGUAUUAAGGGAAAGAGAUCUUAAAGGGCUGGAUCUGCGAACUGGUUCCUUCUCUUUGAGACAACUAAGAGCUGCUACUAAUGAUUUUAAUUCAGCAAACAAGAUCGGAGAAGGUGGUUUUGGGACUGUAUACAAGGUAACACAGCUAAUACUUUCAUAAAUGAUUCAAUUGACAUCUGAAAUUUUUCUUCUAACCAAGAAUGCAGGAUAGUGGCAAAUCUCCUGAAACAUUACCAUUUUAAUGCAUGAUUUUGUAAUAAUUUAAUGCAUAGAAUAAUUCCAAUGCAGGGUGAAUUGUUAGAUGGUACCAUUAUAGCUGUGAAGCAACUAUCUUCCAAAUCCAGGCAAGGAAACCGUGAAUUUGUGACUGAAAUAGGCAUGAUAUCUGGUUUACAGCACCCAAAUCUUGUAAAGCUUUAUGGAUGUUGUAUUGAAGGAAAUCAAUUGUUGCUGGUGUAUGAGUAUAUGGAAAAUAACAGCCUUGCGCGUGCUUUGUUUGGUAAAAGCUGACAAACAUAAUUAAAUUAGCUACUUUGAAUAUCCAAAUGUCUACUUACAUGAUGCAAGCAUAUCUAACAAAUUCAUGUGAUUUUGUUAGUAUCUUUAUACUUACGGUAGAAUUGAUAAUUUAAAAGGUCCUGAAGGGUGCCAGUUGAAUUUGGAGUGGCCUACAAGACACAAUAUCUCCAUUGGUAUAGCGAGAGGUUUGGCCUUUCUUCACGAAGAAUCAAGGUUGAAGAUAGUGCACAGAGAUAUCAAAGCUACUAAUGUGCUGCUUGAUAAGAAUUUAAAUCCUAAGAUAUCUGAUUUUGGUCUGGCCAAAUUGCUGGGUGCUGGAAAAAGUCAUAUCACGACUAGAGUAAUGGGUACAUUUGGUUACGUGGCUCCAGAAUAUGCAAAUUCUGGUCUUCUGAAUGAGAAGAGUGACGUUUAUAGCUUCGGAGUUGUGAUGCUAGAGCUACUAACCGCAAGAAAGCCAAUAGAACAUGGAAAAUACAUAGUGAGAGAGGUAAAGAUGGCAAUGGAUAGAACAAAAGAUUUAUAUAAUCUCCAUGAACUUCUUGACCCAGGCAUUGGUCUAGAAACAACACUGAAAGGUCUGAAUAAGUUUGUGGAUCUGGCAUUGGAAUGUGUGAAAGAGUCAGGAGCAGACAGGCCUAAAAUGGGUGAAGUGGUGAAAGAGAUAGAGGACAUCUUGCAGCUUGCUGGUUUAAACCCCACUAAUGAAUCGGCAUCUACUUCAGCAAGUUACGAGGAAGCAGCCAAGGGAAGUCCUCGUCAUCCUUACAGUAAAGAUUCCUUUGAUUAUAGUGGGGCAUUUCCACCUUCAAAGAUAGAGCCUCAUUGAGCAUUAUCACAUUCAAAUUUUGCUCAUGCUCACAGUUUGAAAUGUUUAAAAAGCACUGUACUAUGUGUAGCUAUUUGUCUUGUCUUGUAUGAAGCUUGUAAUGAAUUAGAAUUGUGGUUGAAUUGAAUUAUUUGCUUAUGAAUAUUUAGCUUAAGUGUUGUAUCUGAGGUUGGUAGCUGAAAUGAAGAAUAAACAGAAAAGAUGUAAGACAGAUUAGCAAUGAUGUAGAAAUUUCACAUUCAUUAGUUGUUUAUAUAUCUGCUUUGACUUUGCUGUUACAGGGUGCAUUUCCCUUCUUCUUUUACCCCAGGUUUUAACAGAGAGUUUGCUAAUUUCCAAGAUUUAUUUCACUUUGUAACUUGCUGUUAAGAUAUUUAAACGCCUUCUGUUCUGAACAUAGUUGUUAUACAAACUACUACAUGUUUAGAACACAAUAUAUGAUCUAUUUGCACCUGAUCAGGUCAUUGGUUUCUCUAGCAGGGCCGAGAAAUACCACUCAUUUUUGUGGAUUCCUCGAUCGAGCUUCAUGCCAGCAUUCCACCUUAGCUUCUUGAAUCCAACACGGUCCAACAUUGGAAUGUAAGUCUGAUUAAGCUGUGAUCCCAGGCAGAAGAAAUGAUCAAGCCAGAAGAGUCCUCCUGGCCUCAACACCCUGUAUAUAUCAUACAAUGUGAACUCAAGCAUGGCAUCUGGAAUCCAGUUGCUUAGAAUAUGCAUGGAGUGAACUAUAUCCAAUGUGUUCUCAAAGAAUGGAAGCCUUUGAGAAACACCAACAUGGAUCGGGAUCAAUCCUCUCGCUGCAAUGAAGCUGUUGAAUGGACCAUCCAGAUUCAUUGAGCUUGUGAUAAUGGUAACAUUUCGUUCGUUCAUUCUAGCUGCAAAUGUUCCAGUCCCACCGCCUAUGUCAAGUCCAAUACGGAUAGUUCCAUGAGGUUUUGCUUUGAGAACUUGAUCAAUCUCAUAAUCGAGUCCUCCAUUAUCGAACAUCCACCUUGUCUUCUCCCUCCCCUGCAAGUCAAAGCAAUCUUUGCAGUCGAAGUAGCCUGGUACAUUUUUUCGUUCGAUGAGGCACUUGUAGCUUUUGCAUGUAUAAGGAUCCCAGACAAUGCUGGUGUCUGACGGGGUUGCCCAGAGAGACUGUGGUAAUGGGAUUGGCUCCUUGUAGUUUGCCGGAGGCUUAGGACGACAUCUCCUGCGAGGGAGAGGCUCACAACCUCUCAUCAUCAACGUUUGAGCAAACACAUCAUCCAUUGGACAUUCCCCACCAACUUCAUAUGUCAUAUACUGAGACAAUUCCUCUUGAUACUUCAAGCAGGCUGCACCCACUGGCGGAUAGACCUCAUUAGACCCUACCCUUGGUGAGUACCCUAAUGGGAGCUUGUGAGGACCUACUGCUAGCGUAAGCUCAUCGGACACAGCAAUCCCAAAUUUAUCAAUGAACCUCAUCAUGGGCUGGCUCACUUUCUGAUCAGCAAGUGCCUCGUGCUGGCUACGAAGUUCUAUGAGAAGGGCUUGCACAAGCAAGUUGGAGGAGUUGAGCUUCUGUUGCAACUCGACAAUCAACAAAUGUGUAGCAGCAAGUUGGUCUCUAGUAGAGUUGAGCUCAUGAAGAAGAUCCGCAGAAUCCCAAAUAGGGAAAGGAAUGUGAUUGGUGUAGCCAGAAAGGUUCAAAUUGAAAGAAGGGCCAGUGAAGAUAUAAAUAGUGAGAAGAUUGGUGAGUAUUACAAGCACAAGCAUCUUGAGCUUGAACUUGGUUUGAGCCAGUUGUGAGUGCUUUUUUGGGUACGCCUCAGACUCAUCACUUCCCAUCUGUGUGUGUGUGUGUGUGUGGAGUUGAUUUGAGAGAAGACAUAAGUGAGAGAGGAAGGGAAUAUUUGUAGAGGGGAGGGAGGUGAGGGGUGGUGCUUUGGGGAGCGUGAAUCGCCGGUUUAGACGUUAAAGGUUGAAGACGAACAUGGUGUUGACGAUCACAAUGUAAAGUCUUACCACGCUCUACGGAUCUUGGUUCACCACCUCGCAUUAAUGACAUUGGAAUCAUGUACUAAGCCUUGAAAUUUGCUUCCACUCAUUUUCUAAACUCACCAAGUCUAAAAUUCAAUUGACAAUCUCACAUAGGUGGUCAUGCAAUGCAAGUAGUCAUGGAUACAGUCCGAUUCGAAAUUGUAAUCAAAUCAAUUUAAUUUGAAAUCAAAACAUGUUAAAUUCAAAUUAAUUAAAAUUGAUUUUGAAUAUGAAUCGAUCAGUCAAUUUCAGUUCUCAGCUAUUUAAUUUCAAUUCUCAGCUAAAAAAGAAAAAAAAUUAAAAUUUUCAGUUGUUGAAUUUUAUAAAACUAAAUCAAAUUUAAUUGAACCGGAUUGAGAACAAGAUUAAAAUGGGCAUGGACCUUAAAAAUUAAGUACAUACAGAUUAAGUUCUGAAAAUUAAAUAACAGAAUUAUGAGAAUAAGCUAUUCCACCAAUGUCAUAGAGAACUGAAUUGAGAAUUUCAAACGAAAAAUUCUUAAAAGAAAUUAA